rnacentral:lncRNA from 1 species
GUUUGCCAUGGAUGGGUAUGAAAUUUUAAAAAUCUGAUUUCAAAAUGCCAGUACCCCAGAAUUUCUUGCCUUUGUGUAAAAUGAAGUAGUUGAGCUCAAGAUGGACAGCAGAGGAUGAGAAGCAGAGCUUGUGGAAGCAGCAGGAACUGUGGAUUGCCUGCUGUGGACUGAGAGAGCAGAAUGAAGGAAGAGUCCUGCAGGAAAUCCAGAGAAGAGUGUGCAUAUUUAUCCAGAAUAGAGGCUCUGUCUAUCACAGGUGGAGUUAGUGUCCACUGAGGUGGUCUUCAUUCCUCAUACACUUCACUGAAAGCAGGACCAAGGAAAAGGAGACUUGAGUAAUGGAGCCAUAUCAAGGAAUCCCAGGAGAAAAAGCACAAGUGAUUGUUCGGCUACACCAUGUGCAGUUGACGCCAAGUAUGUGAAUCUCACAGUGCAGAAUUGAUGCCCAAGAGAUGCCUGGCAACAUCUUGAAACACGUACCCAGAUACUUCCUGACAUGAGGAUGUGCACACUCAGCAUUCCUGACGCUGAUUGAGAUGUGUCUACAGAAGAGCAAGAAACGGGGCUGAGGCCACUAAGAACAGCACCACCUGUGCACACAUCAUUACAUAGAAUGCAUAAAUUUCUUCAGAGCCUCUGGAAAGGAGUUAGCAUGUCUUUGAAUCUGACUGAGACGGGAGCAUGGAUUUCGGAGUGGUGUUUCUGUUGCUCAAAGAGCAAGGUCCAGAGUUUUUAAUACUACCAUCUCAGAAACAACUGUAAAGAAGCUUUCUUCAGAACAUCCAACAGAUGAUGCAAGUCUGGACACAGGAUACUAU